GAUGAACGCUGGCGGCGUGCCUAAUACAUGCAAGUCGAGCGGACGGACGAUAAGCUUGCUUCUCUCAUGUUAGCGGAGGGCGUGUGAGUAACGCGUGGAUCACCUACCUGUCAGUCUGGUAUCUCUUCGGGACACCGGAUCUUAUACCGUAUAAUCUUUUGAUCCACGGGGUUCGAAGGUGAAUGUCGGUCUUGCUGUCACUUCUAGCUGGAUCUCGGCUGCAUUAGCUAGUUGGUAAGGUAAUGGCUUACCAAGGCAACGAUGCAUAGCCGACCUAUGGGGGGGAUCGGCCGCACUGGAACGGAGACGCGGUCCAGACUCCUACGGGAGGCAGCAGUAGGGAAUCUUCCGCAAUGGGCGAAAGCCUGACGGAGCAACGCCACGUGAGUGAUGAAGGUCUUCGGAUCGUAAAACUCGGUUAUUAGGGAAGAACAGAUGUGGAAGGAACUGUGCACAUCGUGACGGUACCGAAUCAGAAAGCCACGGCUAACUACGUG
rnacentral:rRNA from 1 species